rnacentral:rRNA from 1 species
AUUGAACGCUGGCGGCAGGCCUAACACAUGCAAGUCGAGCGGAUGAAGGGAGCUUGCUCCUGGAUUCAGCGGCGGACGGGUGAGUAAUGCCUAGGAAUCUGCCUGGUAGUGGGGGAUAACGUCCGGAAACGGGCGCUAAUACCGCAUACGUCCUGAGGGAGAAAGUGGGGGAUCUUCGGACCUCACGCUAUCAGAUGAGCCUAGGUCGGAUUAGCUAGUUGGUGGGGUAAAGGCCUACCAAGGCGACGAUCCGUAACUGGUCUGCAGGGAUGAUCAGUCAACUGGGACCGGAAGACGGGUCCCAACCCCAAGGGGGGGCAGGAGGGGGAAAAUUUGGACAAGGGGCAAAAGCCUAUACCGGCCAAGCCGGGGGUGUGAAGAAGGUCUUCGGUUUGUAAAGCCUUUUAAGUUGGGAGGAAGGGAAGUAAUUUAAUACCUUGCUUUUUUGACUUUACCAACAGAAUAAGCACCGGCAAACUUCGG